rnacentral:lncRNA from 10 species
GUAAGGGAGUGGCCUCUUUUUGGCCAGGGCUGUUUGGACAACAGUGGGCUUGGAUUGUUCCAGCAAGUGAGGUAUGAGACCACAGCUCAGGCUCACUUGGGUGGUAGCCAGAAGCAACUGCCCAAGUUACCUUGGGCCCAUCCAAAAUGUGCACAGAGAGAGUUUGGCAACUGUCUUCCAGUUGCUUGUCACUGACCAAGACUGCUGAAGUUUGACAGGAAUAAGCAAGUUCUGGCCUCCUGUCUGCAUCAAGAAUCUGGGCUCCAAGGUACAGCCUCUUGAGUUGGACUCCUGCCAUCAGCUCUUCCUAACUGUGCAAACUUGGGCAAGUUACUUAGCCUCUCUGAGCCUCAGUUUCCUCCUGGGUAAAAUGGCACCUACCUCGUAGAGUUACUGAGGAUUCAACAAGGUAAUCAAGCCUAGAGGGAAGGGGACACAAUCCCAAUUUUAACACCAAAGCAACUGAGACCUACAGAUAUUAAAUUACUUGCUCCAGAUUACAACUGAGACUCAAACCCAUCGCCUGGCCACAAGUCUGGUGCCCUAUCUACACCAAUCUGUCUCCG